UUUCCGUAGGUGAACCUGCGGAAGGAUCAUUAUUGGACUUUGAAACUUCAGGCUGCUGCUGGCUCUCCUCGGAGGGCAUGUGCACGCUUGUUGUCCAUUAUUUCUCCCACUGUGCACAAAUUGUAGACCUUUCAGUAGGCCUAUGUUGUUUUUCACAAUCUCUGAAUGUAAUAGAAUGGUUCUGAAUCUUGGGAAAUACAAUACAACUUUCAGCAACGGAUCUCUUGGCUCUC
rnacentral:misc_RNA from 1 species